GACGAACGCUGGCGGCGUGCUUAACACAUGCAAGUCGAACGAAGAGCGAUGGACGCUUGCUUCUAUCAAUCUUAGUGGCGAACGGGUGAGUAACGCGUAAUCAACCUGCCCUUCAGAGGGGGACAACAGUUGGAAACGACUGCUAAUACCGCAUACGAUCUAAUCUCGGCAUCGAGGAUAGAUGAAAAGUGGCCUCUACAUGUAAUCUAUCACUGAAGUAGGGGAUUGCGUCGGAUUAGCUAGUUGGAGGGGUAACGGCCCACCAAGGCGAUGAUCAGUAGCCGGUCUGAGAGGAUGAACGGCCACAUUGGGACUGAGACACGGCCCAGACUCCUACGGGAGGCAGCAGUAGGGAAUCUUCCGCAAUGGACGAAAGUCUGACGGAGCAACGCCGCGUGAGUGAUGACGGCCUUCGGGUUGUAAAGCUCUGUUAAUCGGGACGAAAGGCCUUCUUGCGAAUAGUGAGAAGGAUUGACGGUACCGGAAUAGAAAGCCACGGCUAACUACGUG
rnacentral:rRNA from 1 species